rnacentral:rRNA from 1 species
ACAGAGGUCCCAAGCGUUGUUCGGAUUCACUGGGCGUAAAGGGCGCGUAGGUGGCCGGGUAAGUUCGAUGUGAAAGCUCUGAGCUUAACUCAGAAAUGGCAUUGAAUACUAUCCGGCUCGAGGGUUGGAGGGGGGACUGGAAUUCUCGGUGUAGCAGUGAAAUGCGUAGAUAUCGAGAGGAACACCAGUGGCGAAGGCGAGUCCCUGGACGACUCCUGACACUGAGGCGCGAAAGCCGGGGGAGCAAACAGGAUUAGAUACCCUGGUAGUCCCGGCUGUAAACGGUGCGCAUUUGCUGUGAGCGGAAUCGACCCCGUUCGUGGCGUAGCUAACGCGAUAAAUGCGCCGCCUGGGAAGUACGGUCGCAAGAUUA